CAAUGCGAGGACAGGGAGUUAUGGGAAUUAUACUUUUAGUAUUCAUUCUCUAAUCUGUUUUACAACCUUCUGUAUACAGGUACCCCAUUCCUUAACCCCAAAUUCACAAGAUAUGGAGCAAGUUGGUUUAUAUAAAAGGAAAUUAGGGAGGGCUAAAGGGAAGAGGAGGAUGGGAAGGGUGAGGAAGAAUGGAUGUUCAACUGGAGAAGGGAUAAAAAUGAGAUCUAGGAAGCUCUAUAGGAA
rnacentral:lncRNA from 1 species